AUGUUCAUCUCUUUCAAAGAAGUAAAAGAAGCUGUUGUAGAUGAAGAUGAAGAACCUGAGAUUCAUUUGCCUAUUGUCAUACAAGAGCAUGAUGUGUCAGGUUCAUCCAAUCCUCUUAAUGACAUGUCCCAUUAUGUUUUGUUUGAUUCUACCUUGCUUUACAUGAUGCCAUCACUUAAGGUAGAUUUGAAGAAGUGUUUGCUUGGAUAUGAUGAUACAUAUACUGUUGGUGGCAUUGCUCGUAUUAAUGAUGAUCACACUUAUUUUUCUCAUGCCAAACCUAUGCUUAAGGAUAAAUAUCAUCUUAAUGCUAGUAUUGAGCUUGUUGAUUCCUAUCAUACUCGUCAUGUUCUAUAUUACUAUGCUUAUAUAAUUGGAUAUUCGAUUGACGACUUAGAGGGCAUCGACCCUAUCACUCGUAGUUGUUGUUUGUGUGAGUCCUAUUUCAGGUUUUUGCUUCUGCACCGUUCACUUCAUGUUAACCAGGUUCGAGGUGACAUUCCCUGGGACCCUGGUGGACUCGGAGCAUGGUGA
rnacentral:rRNA from 1 species